rnacentral:rRNA from 1 species
GAGAGUUAAACAGUACGUGAAAUUGUUGAAAAGGAAACGAUUGAAGCCAGUCGUACCUUCGGGUAAUCAGCCUUUCGGGUGCGAUUCUGUGGAGUGUGAGGAGCUUAAACACCUUCAUGUUUUGCAUAUUCGUACUCUUGGGUGUACUUGCCCGUAUGGUUGGUUAACAUCAAUUUUGGUGGUCAUAAAAUGACUGGAGGAAUGUAGCUUCGAUCUUGUAUUGAAGUGUUAUAGCCUUCGGUAGAUGUGAUGAUCGAGAUUGAGGAUUGCAACGGAUACCCUUUGGGGCUACCUGUCUGAUCUCUGAUCGUUGCUUUGGUGCCGAAAGCUUGCUUACGGUUAUCAAAGUCGAUGGUCAAUAGGUUAGAACGGGUUAAAUUCGUUAAGGAUGUUGACGUAAUGGCUUUAAACGA